CCUACGGGAGGCAGCAGUGGGGAAUAUUGCACAAUGGGCGCAAGCCUGAUGCAGCCAUGCCGCGUGUAUGAAGAAGGCCUUCGGGUUGUAAAGUACUUUCAGCAGUGAGGAAGGGGGUGUCGUUAAUAGCGGCAUCUCUUGACGUUAGCUGCAGAAGAAGCACCGGCUAACUCCGUGCCAGCAGCCGCGGUAAUACGGAGGGUGCGAGCGUUAAUCGGAAUUACUGGGCGUAAAGCGCAUGCAGGUGGUUUGUUAAGUCAGAUGUGAAAGCCCGGGGCUCAACCUCGGAACUGCAUUUGAAACUGGCAAACUAGAGUACUGUAGAGGGGGGUAGAAUUUCAGGUGUAGCGGUGAAAUGCGUAGAGAUCUGAAGGAAUACCAGUGGCGAAGGCGGCCCCCUGGACAGAUACUGACACUCAGAUGCGAAAGCGUGGGGAGCAAACAGGAUUAGAUACCCUGGUAGUCCACGCCGUAAACGAUGUCUACUUGGAGGUUGUGGCCUUGAGCCGUGGCUUUCGGAGCUAACGCGUUAAGUAGACCGCCUGGGGAGUACGGUCGCAAGAUUAAAACUCAAAUGAAUUGACGG
rnacentral:rRNA from 1 species